UGGCCUACGGGGGGCAGCAGUCGAGAAUCAUUCACAAUGGGGGAAACCCUGAUGGUGCGACGCCGCGUGGGGGAAUGAAGGUCUUCGGAUUGUAAACCCCUGUCAUGUGGGAGCAAAUUAAAAAGAUAGUACCACAAGAGGAAGAGACGGCUAACUCUGUGCCAGCAGCCGCGGUAAUACGUAGGGAGCAAGCGUUGUCCGGAAUUACUGGGCGUAAAGGGCGCGUAGGUGGGUGCUUAAGUCAGGUGUGAAAACUCUGGGCUCAACCUGGAGACUGCACUUGAAACUGGGUAUCUUGAGGGCAG
rnacentral:rRNA from 1 species